GAUGAACGCUGGCGGCGUGCCUAAUACAUGCAAGUCGAGCGAACAGACGAGGAGCUUGCUCCUCUGACGUUAGCGGCGGACGGGUGAGUAACACGUGGAUAACCUACCUAUAAGACUGGGAUAACUUCGGGAAACCGGAGCUAAUACCGGAUAAUAUAUUGAACCGCAUGGUUCAAUAGUGAAAGACGGUUUUGCUGUCACUUAUAGAUGGAUCCGCGCCGCAUUAGCUAGUUGGUAAGGUAACGGCUUACCAAGGCGACGAUGCGUAGCCGACCUGAGAGGGUGAUCGGCCACACUGGAACUGAGACACGGUCCAGACUCCUACGGGAGGCAGCAGUAGGGAAUCUUCCGCAAUGGGCGAAAGCAUGACGGAGCAACGCCGCGUGAGUGAUGAAGGUCUUCGGAUCGUAAAACUCUGUUAUUAGGGAAGAACAAAUGUGUAAGUAACUAUGCACGUCUUGACGGUACCUAAUCAGAAAGCCACGGCUAACUACGUG
rnacentral:rRNA from 1 species